CAGGCCUAACACAUGCAAGUCGAGGGGUAACAGAGAAGCUUGCUUCUGCUGACGACCGGCGCACGGGUGCGUAACGCGUAUGCAACCUACCUCAUACAGGAGAAUAGCCCUUGGAAACGAGGAUUAAUACUCCAUGGUAUCAUUUUUUCGCAUGUUAGAAUGAUUAAAGAAUUUCGGUAUGAGAUGGGCAUGCGUCCCAUUAGCUAGUUGGUGAGGUAACGGCUCACCAAGGCGACGAUGGGUAGGGGGCCUGAGAGGGUGGUCCCCCACACUGGUACUGAGACACGGACCAGACUCCUACGGGAGGCAGCAGUGAGGAAUAUUGGUCAAUGGAGGCAACUCUGAACCAGCCAUGCCGCGUGAAGGAUGACGGCCCUAUGGGUUGUAAACUUCUUUUAUAUGGGAAGAAACUUAUCUACGUGUAGAUAACUGACGGUACCAUACGAAUAAGGAUCGGCUAACUCCGUGCCAGCAGCCGCGGUAAUACGGAGGAUCCAAGCGUUAUCCGGAUUCAUUGGGUUUAAAGGGUCCGUAGGCGGAUUUUUAAGUCAGUGGUGAAAGCCGACAGCUCAACUGUCGAACUGCCAUUGAUACUGGAAAUCUUGAGUACAAAUGAAGUAGGCGGAAUGAGUCAUGUAGCGGUGAAAUG
rnacentral:rRNA from 1 species